GGAACUGUUCGCUGUUGGUGGGACCAGCAGAGUGGCGCCCAAACAAGGACCUGAGUACCUGGGAUGCUGGUGAAGGACACUGCAAAGAGUAAAGGGAGACCAUGUUCAUCUUAAAAGUGAAAGUGUUGCGGAGAAGUUGAUAGGAGAUUUUCCCUCGCCCCCUGAAUUGGAAGAUGAAGAGUUAACCCCCGAGGAGUCAGAAACAGACAUCCUGUAAUAGCUCUGAGUCAGGAAAAGACAUCUGUCCCUAUUUCACCGGAGCUAUCACAAUUACAGAUAAUCCCCUGGCUGAUGUUGGUUCCCGUCUCAUAACUUUUACACACUUAGAACAAGCUGAAUAUUCUCAUCCCCUGAUACCACAUAAUUAUUUAAAACAUGCCCUAUUUGUACUUAAUUUUUAAAAUGUGGACAAACAAGGAUCUAGCACAACUGAACAAUUUUGGCAUUCCAAAACACAAUCUCAUUAUACUGCAGUCAUUUGGAAAGAUCCCUUAACGGGUUCAUGGAAUGGGCCUGACCCUGUGUUGAUAUGGGGUCGAGGAGAUGUUUGUGUUUUUUCGCAGGACAAUGAUGGAGCUUGCUGGCUUCCAGAACGUUUGGUGCAGUUUAUGGACACUCAGAAAGACCAGGAGGAUGUUGUGCCUAUGGAUCUGCCUGAAGAUGGUGACACUCAUUGCAACAAAAAUCUACUGGGCAGGAAUAUUUCCGGAGGGAAUCAGACGGUUCAUAUGAUGGCUCCUCGACCAGAAAACAACUCUGUUAACAUCACACAACCCCAAUAUCUUCCCCCUUGUGCCAAAGAAAAUUGCCUGGACAAUUGGACCUUAUUAUGGAAAGAAAGAUAUAGGUAUAAAGGUGUAUUUGUGGUAGAAAAUGUUAAAAAGAAAGAGAACGUUUCAAUAUUGAAGGAAUUUUGUAUGCUAAAAUUUUUGUCCUAAAGUAAGAUGACUAGAUUAUUUCCAGAAUGAAAAAAGGUAAAACAGGACAAAUAAUCAAGGAAUAAACCAUGUUACAAUAGGUUUGAGUUAUGCUGGAGAAGGUCUGAGAAAGAAUUGUAAAGAAUUAGAAAGAUUUCAUGAAAAGAUGUAUAUAUAACAGAUAGUAUCUGAGGUGGCCAUAAAAUGGACCACACUAUUCAGUCUAACUAGACCCAAGGAGGUCUCACUCUCAUCACAGUCCAACCCAGUAAUAGAUAAGAGCUCCAAAACAACGGGUCCAGAAAUUGACGACUCCAUUCAUGCUACGGCUGAGAGCACUGGCAUUGAUUUAAUUCUUUAAGUGCACUGGGAAAGGUCUCUCUAGUAAAUAGUCAGCUAUCAGGAUCUCUAAAAACUGGGUAUGCUUAAAAUUUAAAAUUUACAAACCACGGACAGUACAAACAGCUGGUUUUGUGGAUAAUGUAACAAAAAAUAUUUCCAUAGCUUUACACACUCAAACUAUUGAUGAAAAAGUCUAACACAAAUUGGAUGCCCUUUGUGAUACUAUCAUACAUCUGGGAAACCGGGUUGAUGGGUUGCAUGUGCGCUCUUCUGUUUGAUGUCACAUGUUGUAUCAAUGGAUUUGUGUCACCCCCUAAGAUCUAUAAUGAAAGCCAACAUGAUUGGGAAAAGGUCAAAAAAACAUAAGGUGUCUGGUGCGGGGCCAAUGAAAUAAUAAUGGAUAUUCUUAUACUCCAUCGAGAGAUCUUGGAGAUAGAAAAGACACGUUCCUCUCCUUUUAAUGCUGCACAAGAGACAAAUAAAUUGCUACAGCAAUUGUAUGGUCUCCUACCACAUUGACCUCUUGGCAACAGUGGUUAAUGCCUGCUGUUAUGGUAUUGGUCUUGUGUUGCUUUGUUGUGCCCCCUGCCUUGUGCGAAUACUCGGGCGCUCCUUUCUUGGAGUUUGCUCCAAAAUUCAUCAAUUAAAACUUCAAGCCAAGGCAUUAGAUACAGAGGCUGAUAGACAGUGACGGGGAAGAUCCUUGGGAUGUUUCUCAACCUAAGUCAGGGGGUGCAUACAAAUAUGCAUUACCCGAUGACGGGUAAGAGAAAAUGUCACCAAGGACAACCUAAGACAGGAACAGCCUACUGCCCGUCAGAAGUGGUGGAUCAUUUAAUAAAAAA